UGGUUUAAUUCGAAGCAACGCGAAGAACCUUACCAGGUCUUGACAUCCUCUGACAACCCUAGAGAUAGGGCUUCCCCUUCGGGGGCAGAGUGACAGGUGGUGCAUGGUUGUCGUCAGCUCGUGUCGUGAGAUGUUGGGUUAAGUCCCGCAACGAGCGCAACCCUUGAUCUUAGUUGCCAGCAUUCAGUUGGGCACUCUAAGGUGACUGCCGGUGACAAACCGGAGGAAGGUGGGGAUGACGUCAAAUCAUCAUGCCCCUUAUGACCUGGGCUACACACGUGCUACAAUGGGCAGAACAAAGGGCAGCGAAGCCGCGAGGCUAAGCCAAUCCCACAAAUCUGUUCUCAGUU
rnacentral:rRNA from 1 species